rnacentral:lncRNA from 1 species
GCCUGCGCCGUCCUCCUUCAGCCGGCGGCCGGGGGCCCCCUCUCUCCCAGCUCUCAGUGUCUCAUCUCCCUAUCUGCUCAUCCUCUGGUCGCACAUAAUCGAUGUUUGGGCGUCCCAAGCCAGAUGUGGACCCCAUUUCCGCACUCUACACUGGAGGUUUUCUAAGGGUGGUGCCCGGACCAGCAGCUUCAGCCUCAUCUGGGAACUUGAGAAAAUGCAGAUUCUCCGUCCCACCCAGCCUAUUCGGUUUUUCCUGCACUAAAACCAUGAAGGUGGGGCCCAGCAGUCCACAUUCUCGCAAGCCCGUCAAGUGAUUCUGAGGCGCCCUCCAGUUUGAGAGCUAUGCUCACGGCCUCACCUCCGCCCCGCAAGGAGCCCGGUCUUGCCUGUGGCGCUAGCCGCACACGGACACCUCAUCCUGCGGGGCCCGCCCCCCCGCUGCACCCUCACCGCCCAACGCCUCCUCCGGGAUGCAGCGGAGGCGCCUGGAAGUCGGCAAGGUCAACAUCCCCCUCAGCAUCUUCCCUACCCUCACGGCUCCUCCUCCAGGGGUGCCUCAUGGCCAGGGGUUAGAAAGAGCCACUGUGUUUCUUGACAUGGAAGUGGCCUAAGACCUUAAUGAAAACUGCAGGAGUGGAAUGACAGAACCUUUGGUCAUACUUGAGGGCGUGAAGCUCAAAUGAGGAGGAAGGAAAGGAUCCAGGGAGAAUAACCAACCCUGGCAAGUUGUGGCGCCCAGGUAGAGGGGCGAGCCUAGGCUAGCGGUUCUCGACCAGGGCCGGUGUUGCCCCUCCUCGCCGCCCCGCGUACAUUUGGGGAGGUCUGGAGACAUUUUUGGUUGUCAUGAUGCGGGAGUUGCUACUGUUGCCUAAGUGGGUAGACACGAGGGUGCUCCUCAACAUCCUACCUGAAGGACAGGACUGCCCCACAAGGAAGAAUGAUCCGGCCCCAAAUAAGAAACCCUGGGCUGGUCAGCAACAACCCCUUUGUUCUGAGAAGAGAGGAGGAAAGAAUAAAAGAAGUGGGGUGAAGUUUUGGUUUGGUAGAGGAAACUUGAAGACAUUUUCACUGGAAAGGAAGAGAGGAAGAGGAGGGAGAUGUCUGUAAGGACGAGCAAACCGGGUGACAGCUGAUUUCCUCAUAUUGAAGUAAUGAGUCCUAGUUAUAAUAAAUUCCUAAUAAAAACCCAGUUUAUCCCUGCAAUAAA